rnacentral:tRNA from 1 species
UAAAAGAUAAGCUAAUAUAAGCUAAAGGGUUCAUACCCCUUUUAUGACAUGUUCUCUUUUUA